CAGAUUUAUUGCUGUUCAUUCAACCGAGACAGAAGCGAUGCAUCCCAGGUUCCUUUGCGUCCCGCUCCUACUCGUGGCUUUGGGCCUCGCCCUUGGGCAAGACGAUGCAGGAGUGCAGCCGGCUGAAGGUGGGGCUGAAGGUGGAGCUGAAGGUGGAGCUGCAGUCGCUGAUAAGACAGAGGUUGCACCUGAGAGCCCACCAGUAGAAGAGAAAGUAGAAGUGGCACCUACAUCUGGUGGAGCAGAUGGGGCUGUGCCGGCAAAGCCUGCCCAAAGAGGUAGACACAGAGGUAGACUCGGCCACAGAGUUAGACUCGGCCACAGACUUAAACUCGGCCACAGAGGAAAAGGACGUGGUGGAGGAAAACUUAGAGGCUGAAAACACGGCAGAAAGGGGAAACCGUUGUAGGUAAAGAAGAUCUUGAUGGCUUCAGGUCGACAAGUGACUCUCCUUGGUGCUUUUUAUUACUGUACUAUAACCCACCCCUUCCCCCCUGAAAUUUAUUUCAUGUACAAGAAAAGUUACUAUACCAAUAAACAUUAGUACUCUGGGA